UUGUAUAAUCUCAGUGAAAAUACCUAAAAAUAUAGAAUACAGAAAACCAAAAAAUAUGAAGAAAUAACAAACAAGAAAGCGACAUUGGUCUUACUCACAUAUAUGGCACAAUGGCUAUCGAGAGACACUAAUCCACUUAGUAUAAGACAAACACCAUUGUUGAUAUAUAAUUUCAAAAAGCAUCAAUACUUUUAUUUUCCAAUCCUCACACAGUAAGUAUCACCUCUUGUAGAUGCAGAGAAGACUAUUUUCAACAUUUGUUGGCUUCUAAUUUGACAAAAUCCAAACAUAAAUCAGAUUCUACAGGAAGCCAAGACUAUUUUCCAAA